rnacentral:rRNA from 1 species
CGACCGGCGCACGGGUGCGUAACGCGUAUGCAACCUACCUUUAACAGGGGGAUAACACUGAGAAAUUGGUACUAAUACCCCAUAAUAUCAUAGAAGGCAUCUUUUAUGGUUGAAAAUUCCGAUGGUUAGAGAUGGGCAUGCGUUGUAUUAGCCAGUUGGUGGGGUAACGGCUCACCAAGGCGACGAUACAUAGGGGGACUGAGAGGUUAACCCCCCACACUGGUACUGAGACACGGACCAG